rnacentral:rRNA from 1 species
GGUCAAGUGAAUAAGAGCAUGUGGUGGAUGCCUUGGCGAUGAUAGGCGACGAAGGACGUGAUAGCCUGCGAUAAGCUUCGGGGAGCUGGCAAAUUAGCUUUGAUCCGGAGAUUUCCGAAUGGGGAAACCCACCUAGCAGUAGGUAUCGCAUGAUGAAUACAUAGUCAUGCGAGGCGAACCGGGUGAACUGAAACAUCUCAGUAGCUCGAGGAAAAGACAUCAACCGAGAUUCCGAAAGUAGUGGCGAGCGAAAUCGGAAGAGCCUGUUAGUGAUAGCACGACACUUAACAAAACGGCAUGGAAAGGCCGGCCAAAGAAGGUGAUAGCCCUGUAUGUGAAAAGAGACGUGUGGUACUGAGCUAACGACAAGUAGGGCGGGACACGAGAAAUCCUGUCUGAAUAUGGGGGGACCAUCCUCCAAGGCUAAAUACUCAUCAUCGACCGAUAGUGAACAAGUACCGUGAGGGAAAGGCGAAAAGAACCCCGGGAGGGGAGUGAAAUAGAUCCU